rnacentral:rRNA from 1 species
UACGAAGGGGGCUAGCGUUGUUCGGAGUUAUUGGGCGUAAAGGGAGCGUAGGCGGUUCGGCAAGUCUCUAGUGAAAUCUCUGGGCUCAACCCAGAGUCUGCUGGGGAAACUGCCGGGCUUGAGUAUGGGAGAGGUGAGUGGAAUUCCCGGUGUAGCGGUGAAAUGCGUAGAUAUCGAGAGGAACACCUGCGGCGAAGGCGGGUUGCUGGGCCGACACUGACGCUGAGGCGCGAAAGCCAGGGGAGCGAACGGG